GCAUAACGCGAAGAACCUUACCAGGCCUUGACAUCCAAUGAACUUUCCAGAGAUGGAUUGGUGCCUUUGGGAACAUUGAGACAGGUGCUGCAUGGCUGUCGUCAGCUCGUGUCGUGAGAUGUUGGGUUAAGUCCCGUAACGAGCGCAACCCUUGUCCUUAGUUACCAGCACGUAAUGGUGGGAACUCUAAGGAGACUGCCGGUGACAAACCGGAGGAAGGUGGGGAUGACGUCAAGUCCUCAUGGCCCUUACGGCCAGGGCUACACACGUACUACAAUGGUCGGUACAGAGGGUUGCCAAACCGCAAGGUGGAGCCAAUCCCAGAAAGCCGAUCCCAGUCCGGAUCGGAGUCUGCAACUCGACUCCGUGAAGUCGGAAUCGCUAGUAAUCGCGGAUCAGCUAUGCCGCGGUGAAUACGUUCCCGGGUCUUGUACACACCG
rnacentral:rRNA from 1 species